AGAACGAACGCUGGCGGCGUGGAUAAGACAUGCAAGUCGAACGCGACUUAUCGUGUUAGCAAUAACAUGGUAAGUUGAGUGGCGAAAGGGUGCGUAACACGUGGGAAUUUACCAAGAAGUGGGGAAUAGCUCGACGAAAGUCGAAUUAAUACCGCAUGUGAUCGAAAGAUCAAAGCCGGGGACCGCAAGGCCUGGCGCUUUUUGAGAAGCCCGCGGCCCAUCAGCUAGUUGGCGGGGUAACGGCCCACCAAGGCUAUGACGGGUAGCUGGUCUGAGAGGACGACCAGCCACACUGGAACUGAGACACGGUCCAGACACCUACGGGUGGCAGCAGUCGAGAAUUUUUCACAAUGGAC
rnacentral:rRNA from 1 species